UUCUAUAUGGCAGAAUAGUGCGAUGGUUUUAAGAUCCAUAAAUAAAGUUAUUUUUUUUUAGAAA
rnacentral:tRNA from 1 species